rnacentral:lncRNA from 1 species
CCAAAUAAAACACAAAAAAUCUACUCAUACACCUAACCCGUCCUGACCGGCUAAAUAAAAAUCCAUCCACUUAAUAAAAUAAACACUAAAUAAUAACCCAAAAGAGCCAUCAUUUCACGCAACUCACUUCUUCUUCUUCAUGGUUUCAACAUGGAGUUGGAACAUCGAGUAGAAAAAAUAAAAAAUCUCAAAGAAAGGGAUUCAUCUCUUCUCCUCAAUUAUUGUUUAACGUGGAACUGAAUCACUGCCGGGGUAUUGCACAGAAAAUGAGAGAAAAUGAGGUACCCUUAAUAAAUAUUAUUAUUUUUGUCUUUAUAUGGUAAAAUUUUUAACUUGUUAUCUGUUGUUAUCAAAGAACAACAUGUGAAGGUUAGAUUACCAACUUUUGUUAAGUGGUGUUCCUUAUUUAGAAAAUAUUUUAUCAUCUUGGCAGGCAUAACUCUAAAUGAAUUUAGUGACUGGAACUCUUUUUCAUAAUCAAAUGGAAAUAAAGUAGGAGAGGCUGAGGGCGAAGUUCCAGGAAGCGUUGCUGCUAUAUUUACAAGGCCCAAAUUUAUGGAAUAGCUUCUUGAUUGUUUUUGGGUGAAUGGGUGAAGAAAUGAAUUGGUACUUUAGCGUGAAAUGAUGGUCUGAGGGUUUUGGUUAGUGUUUCGUGUUUAUUUUAUUAAGUGGGUCUGUUUUUAUUUAGCAAGUUCGAUCGGGUCGGGUGUAUGGGUAGAUUUUUUAUGUUUUGUUUGGAUAUUAUUUGGCAAAAUAAUAAAAAAUUUCCGCGAGGACUGCUAUGUCAUUUCAUUCCACAUGAAAUAUUGAUACUUCUAUUGAAUGACUAUUUGUGUGCACUAGGAAAAGUUAAGUGAUUUUGCUGUUACAAAACUAAAGUAAAGUGACUUUAUUCCAUCAUUUUGCAUAGUGUUUAACCAAAAAAUAGAAAUUUCGGUCAAAGCUUAUUUGUAGAAAAACUCAG